rnacentral:pre_miRNA from 1 species
UAUAAGGGAUUUUGAGUUUUUUCUUGUAACGUUUGACCACUCGUCUUAUUCAAUUUUUUUAAAAUUAUUAUUUAUUUUAUUUGUGACUUACUUUAUUAUCCACAGUACUUUAAGCACAACUUUUCAUUUUUUAUAUUUACAAAAAAAAAAUAAAUAAGACGAGUGGUCAAACGUUGUAAGCAAAAACUCAAAAUCCCUUAUA